rnacentral:rRNA from 1 species
UACGUAGGGUCCGAGCGUUGUCCGGAAUUACUGGGCGUAAAGAGCUCGUAGGUGGUUUGUCGCGUUGUUCGUGAAAACUCACAGCUCAACUGUGGGCGUGCGGGCGAUACGGGCAGACUGGAGUACUGCAGGGGAGACUGGAAUUCCUGGUGUAGCGGUGAAAUGCGCAGAUAUCAGGAGGAACACCGGUGGCGAAGGCGGGUCUCUGGGCAACAACUGACGCUGAGGCGCGAAGGCAUGGGGAGCGAACGGG